UAGUACGAGAGGACCGGGAUGGACGCACCGCUGGUGUACCAGUUGUCUUGCCAAAGGCAUAGCUGGGUAGCUACGUGCGGACGGGAUAAGUGCUGAAAGCAUCUAAGCAUGAAGCCCCCCUCAAGAUGAGAUUUCCUUUUGCUUCGGCAAGUAAGAUCCCUGAAAGAUGAUCAGGUAGAUAGGUUCGAGGUGGAAGCGUGGCGACACGUGCAGCUGACGAAUACUAAUCGAUCGAGGACUUAACCCAAA
rnacentral:rRNA from 1 species